rnacentral:rRNA from 1 species
AUGGGUGUUGUCUCUCAGAACGAACCUCAUGAGAGCAUGGGUGUUGUAGAUGUUGUCAGUAACCCGGACAACUCUGUUCCUCACCAGGAAGAGACCAGGCAAGACAACAACGCCCAUCACCUGGAAGAGAGAUCACAGGACAACCCUGAUCUUGACCUGGAAGAGAGAACACAGGACAACCCUGAUCUUGACCUGGAAGAGAGCACACAAUCCCCCAAUUCAUCAUUAGCAGAUACACCAGUUCUGAAACCAGGCAGGAGGAUAUGUCUUGCUCCUAUCAAGUUUAAUGAUGUCGUUACUUUUGACGAACGUCAAUUCUUGUCUUCUAUCAGUUGUGACGAGGUCUACAAAUUAGUCAAAGCAGAAUGCAAUGAGACUGAGCUGUUGAAUGUGUGUGGGACUAGCAUCAAGGGGGGCGAACUUGUAAAGUUCUUUGAGGAAGGUGACAAUGGCCUGGGUGACAAUGGCCUGGGCAUUAUCAAUGCAUUUGUCAAAUGCCUCAAGGAUGACGAUAAGAGUAACGGCUACAUCAAACGCAGAAUAAUUAUCCCUCCACAAGACUUGACCAGCGAUGGAGUUCUGGAAAGUAUUGCGAAAGUGGUUGCUGAUCAGGGAAUCAGACGUGAUGAGAGAAUCAGACCGGGAAAACCAAAGCAAAUAGAGCAGAUUUUCGUAUCUUCUCCUACCAUUCACCAGCAAGAAUGGUUUGUAUAUUUUGUCGAUGUUAGGAUGAAAGACCAGAUCUCUGUCGUGCACUGCAGCUUAUCGAAACAUGCUAAUGUGAUGGAAAACAAUGCUGCUGUGAUGGAAAACAAUGCUAAAAUAUUCGCGGACCAGCUGGGCAAAGCCUUUGUGCAACAAGGCUGUAUCUCGCCAUUUUCUGAAAUUGCCAAAAUAAGGGUGUCAUUUACUUCUGUCAGUGCCAAGUUAAGAUACAGUGGUUUAGCAUCUAUGCUUGUCCUUGAGCGGUACAGUGGAUCUCAGCACGCCACGGAUGAAAUUUUUUUUAGUAAUUCAAUAAAAAGUCAAAAAUUUCUGAUUUUUUUUAAAAACUUGACCUUUCAUUGUACUCGUGAGAAAAGUUCCACAAAAAGAAAAUUACUCUUUGACUUGUUUUCAAAUAGACAUAUUUUUGGUCAAAAUAGCAUGAAUAGUGACCUAUAA